rnacentral:lncRNA from 1 species
GGGAAAUGUGGAAAUAUUCCUCAUAUUCAGAUGUCACUUUCCAUUCAGGAGCUGCAGGUGCCAAUAUGGAGGCAUCUCUAGUUUUUUCUCCUGCAUCUUUUAUUCCACAAUCCAUAAUGACAAACUUGACCAUAUACAUUAUGGGGCGGGCUAUAAAUCUUCUAGAGCUUGGUGUACGGUUAGAGAAUGCAGAAGAUCUCAUACAGACGAUAUUUGGCCAACAAUCUACUUCUUUCAGUGAAUACUUGUUUUCAACUACUGACGAAAGAAACCCCAAAUCAGAAAUUCCUGUGGAAAUAGCUAGAACAGCCAAGCAGAAGAGACUGACUUCAAAGAAAUACAGUGCUGGAGAACGUCUUGUGACUAAGGCUGGAAAAUCCAAGUUAAGUAAAGCAAAGCAGAGUUGCCCAGGUGGAAAGUAUAAUAAGAUGAGUGAAUUAGUGAAAAAGUUCACUGAUCGGCUGGGACGAAAGAAGGAGUUGAAAUGUGAACUAAGCAUAAAGAUCUUUGGAAAUGAACUCAGCUUUUUGGACUGUGAAGAUAUAAGAAAGAAAGUGAAGCAUUAUUCCCUGAACCUGGCGGAACUAGCUGUCAAGCUUCUAAAGGGUCAAGAGAUCCAGUUUAAUAAAAGACUGAGUUUGGCCACUGAAGAACUGCUCUUCCCAGCAAUUUCAGGUUUUCCAGUUCAGUUGGUUUUAAAUGCCUCUGCAGCAAUCAAUGUAAAAAUCAAAGGGGAUGUGGAUUUCAAGCACCGAUCAAAUUUUUUCAUUAAUGGAUAUAUCAAGCCAAGGUAUGCUUUGGUUAACAGAGACCAGAUC